CCUGCACUGGUGGGGUCCCUCGGCCUGGCUUGUGGGGAUUGGGCUAAAACUGUCUCUCCAACAUCCCCCGAGGGGUCCCAGAUUGCGAGAGGGUACAGGCCAGGCUGAGGGACCCCACUGGUGCACA
rnacentral:pre_miRNA from 1 species